UACAGAGGUCUCAAGCGUUGUUCGGAUUCAUUGGGCGUAAAGGGUGCGUAGGUGGCGCUGUAAGUCGGGUGUGAAAUUUCGAGGCUUAACCUCGAAACUGCAUUCGAUACUGCGGUGCUUGAGGACUGGAGAGGAGACUGGAAUUCAUGGUGUAGCAGUGAAAUGCGUAGAGAUCAUGAGGAAGACCAGUGGCGAAGGCGGGUCUCUGGGCAGUAACUGACGCUGAGGAGCGAAAGCGUGGGGAGCGAACAGG
rnacentral:rRNA from 1 species